rnacentral:misc_RNA from 1 species
AGUCGUAACAAGGUUUCCGUAGGUGAACCUGCGGAAGGAUCAUUAAUAAAUGGUCUACGUUUUUUAAGUAGACGCUUAAUAAUCCUACCCUUUGUGAAUUUGUUUGUUUGAAAUAAUUUUUUUAAAAUUAUGAAUGUCUUUCCCUGUUGAAUUGGUUGUCUUUAAUGGCAAGUGAUUCGCAGGGGAGUGUCAAUAAUUUUAAAAAAGACCUUUUUUAAAAUUAAGCUUUUUGUAUUCAUUUGUCUAAAAUUAUUUUUAUAAUAUAAAAACAACUUUUGACAAUGGAUCUCUUGGUUCUCGCAACGAUGAAGAACGCAGCAAAAUGCGAUAAGUAGUGUGAAUUGCAGAAUACGUGAAUCAUCGAAUCUUCGAACGCAUAUUGCACUUUUUAGUUUACUAAAAAAGUAUGUCUGUUUGAGUAUCAGUAAAAUAUUCUCAUAAAAAACAUUGUUUUUUAUGGUUAUGAGUGUUUUACAACGAUACAAGUUGUUUCACUUUAAAUUUUUUUAAAAUUUGAAUUUUUCUAAUUUUAAAAUAAAAUGGAUAAAAUUUCCCGUAAAAAGGAAUAACCUAAACAAUUUUAAUUUUUGAUUAGAAAAUCCAAACUAAAAGGAAAUUUAACUAAAUAACUUGAUCUCAAAUCAGAUAAGAGUACCCGCUGAACUUAAGCAUAUCAAUAAGCGGAGGAAAAGAAACUAACAAGGAUUCCCUUAGUAACAGCGAGUGAAGCGGGAAGAGCUCAAAUUUGAAAUCUUCAAGGUUUUACCUUGACGAAUUGUAGUUUAAAGAAGUGUUUUCUGUUGAAGUUUUGGUAAAAGUUCUUUGGAAUAGGACAUCAUAGAGGGUGAGAAUCCCGUAUUUGACCAUUAUUUCAGCUGUGUGAUACACUUCAAAGAGUCGGAUUGUUUGGGAAUGCAGUCCAAAAUGGGUGGUAAAUUUCAUCUAAAGCUAAAUAUUGGCGAGAGACGAUAGCGAACAAGUACCGUGAGGGAAAGAUGAAAAGAACUUUGAAAAGAGAGUUAAACAGUACGUGAAAUUGUCAAAAGGGAAGCGUUUGACACCAGUGUUGUUUUCUCGAAAAUCAAUUAAAAAAAGUUGGAUUUUGUGUUGUAUUGACCUUAACAGCUUGCUUCACUCUUUUCCUGCUUUUUUUAAUGCACUUUUCGUUUAACAAGUCAACAUCAGUUUCUUUGUUGUAAAAGGGUCAUUGGAAGGUGGCUUUCUCUUCGGAGAAAGUGUUUAUAGCCUUUGAUCUCUGCAAUCGGAGAGACUGAGGUCUGCAGCGUAGAUCCUUCGGGGUUAGAUACAUUUGUGCUAAGCUACAGCUUUUCAUAGACAACUUGUUGACUAUGUUUAGUCUUGUGACUUACCCGCUUAUGCUAUUUUACCUACGCUUAGGAUGUUG